rnacentral:misc_RNA from 1 species
AACGCACAUUGCGCUCUUUGGUAUUCCGGAGAGCAUGCUUCUUUGAGAAUCAGUAAAUUCAUCAACCCCGAUUUUCUGGAAUUUAUUCCGGUCGAUUGAAGGUUGGAUCUGGGCCAUUUGCCGUCUCACGACAGCAAUAACCUGAAAUUGAAUGUUACGCUCCAUUGAACUGAAAAGUUUUGGGCAAACGCAUGAAUGAGGUAACUCAGCAGUACGUUAGCCUUUGAAACUAAUCAAUUGAAUGUUUGGGUAGCUCAACUGAUUACACAGGAUUUGUUGGCACCAGCCAGCAUCUUCUGAACUCUUGGUCUCAAAUGAAGUAGGAAAACCCGCUGAACUUAA